UACGUAGGGGGCGAGCGUUGUCCGAAUUUACUGGGCGUAAAGAGCGCGUAGGCGGGUUCUUAAGUGAGAGGUGAAAGGUUCAGGGCUCAACCCGAACAGUGCCUUUCAUACUGGGAGCCUUGAGUGUGGGAGAGGAGAGUGGAAUUCCCGGUGUAGCGGUGAAAUGCGCAGAUAUCGGGAAGAACACCCGUGGCGAAGGCGGCUCUCUGGGACGGUACUGACGCUGAGACGCGAAAGCGUGGGGAGCGAACAGG
rnacentral:rRNA from 1 species